AAGUCGUAACAAGGUUUCCGUAGGUGAACCUGCGGAAGGAUCAUUAACACGUAUCCAAACGCAUGGACAAGCCCAGUAAAUCAAGCCCCGGAAAGUUUUUGAUUUGGGACCUCUGUGCGCGUGAGAAAAACUGACAGCGAUUCAUAGAAGCGCAGUGAAUGAAAGUGUCGCUGGAGCGUCAAGGACGACUCUUCAAGAUUGCUAGAGGUCGACCACCGACCGGCUUCCGUGUAUACUGAGCUUAACAUCGCUCCCUUCCGAACCCCACUUUAUUGCCUUGCCUGUAAGUCCAUACGGUGGAUAUCUUGGUUCUC
rnacentral:misc_RNA from 1 species